rnacentral:rRNA from 1 species
CCUACGGGAGGCAGCAGUGGGGAAUAUUGCACAAUGGGCGAAAGCCUGAUGCAGCGACGCCGCGUGAGGGAUGACUGCCUUCGGGUUGUAAACCUCUUUCAGCAGGGACGAAGCGCAAGUGACGGUACCUGCAGAAGAAGCACCGGCCAACUACGUGCCAGCAGCCGCGGUAAU